GCUGGCGGCAUGCCUAACACAUGCAAGUCGAACGGUAACGCGGAGAGCUUGCUCUCUGGCGACGAGUGGCGGACGGGUGAGUAAUACUUAGGAAUCUGCCCAGUAGUGGGGGACAACAUUCGGAAACGGAUGCUAAUACCGCAUACGCACUACGGUGGAAAGUGGGGGACCUUCGGGCCUCACGCUAUUGGAUGAGCCUAAGUCGGAUUAGCUUGUUGGUAGGGUAAUGGCCUACCAAGGCGACGAUCCGUAGCUGGUCUGAGAGGACGAUCAGCCACACUGGGACUGAGACACGGCCCAGACUCCUACGGGAGGCAGCAGUGGGGAAUAUUGGACAAUGGGCGCAAGCCUGAUCCAGCAAUGCCGCGUGUGUGAAGAAGGCCUGCGGGUUGUAAAGCACUUUCAGUAGAGAAGAAAAGCUUAGGGUUAAUAACCCUGAGUCUUGACGUAACCUACAGAAGAAGCACCGGCUAACUCCGUGCCAGCAGCCGCGGUAAUACGGAGGGUGCGAGCGUUAAUCGGAAUUACUGGGCGUAAAGCGCGCGUAGGCGGCUUUGUAAGUCGGAUGUGAAAGCCCUGGGCUUAACCUGGGAAUUGCAUUCGAUACUGCAGAACUA
rnacentral:rRNA from 1 species